GAUGAACGCUGGCGGCGUGCCUAAUACAUGCAAGUAGAACGCUGAAGCUUGGUGCUUGCACCGGGCGGAUGAGUUGCGAACGGGUGAGUAACGCGUAGGUAACCUGCCUCUUAGCGGGGGAUAACUAUUGGAAACGAUAGCUAAUACCGCAUAAAAGACGAUAUCGCAUGAUAUUGAUUUGAAAGGUGCAAAUGCAUCACUAAGAGAUGGACCUGCGUUGUAUUAGCUAGUUGGUGAGGUAACGGCUCACCAAGGCAACGAUACAUAGCCGACCUGAGAGGGUGAUCGGCCACACUGGGACUGAGACACGGCCCAGACUCCUACGGGAGGCAGCAGUAGGGAAUCUUCGGCAAUGGGGGCAACCCUGACCGAGCAACGCCGCGUGAGUGAAGAAGGUUUUCGGAUCGUAAAGCUCUGUUGUAAGAGAAGAACGAGUGUGAGAGUGGAAAGUUCACACUGUGACGGUAACUACCAAAAGGAC
rnacentral:rRNA from 1 species